rnacentral:rRNA from 1 species
UACGUAGGGUGCGAGCGUUGCCCGGAUUUAUUGGGCGUAAAGGGCGCGUAGGCGGUCACGCACGUCCGUUGUGAAAUCGCUCGGCUCAACUGGGCGGGGUCCGUGGAAACUGGUCACCUGGAGGACGGUAGAGGCGAGUGGAAUUCCCGGUGUAGUGGUGAAAUGCGUAGAGAUCGGGAGGAACACCAGUGGCGAAGGCGGCUCGCUGGGCCGGACCUGACGCUGAGACGCGAAGGCGUGGGGAGCGAACGGG